rnacentral:SRP_RNA from 1 species
GGGAGGUCGGCGGCGGACGGGCGCCUCGCCAACCCGGUCAGGUCCGGAAGGAAGCAGCCGCAACGAGUUUCCGCCCGGGUCGUCCGUUCGGCCUCCCACU